AGCACGGGUACUUGUACCUGGUGGCGAGCGGCGGACGGGUGAGUAAUGCCUAGGAAUCUGCCUGGUAGUGGGGGAUAACGCUCGGAAACGGACGCUAAUACCGCAUACGUCCUACGGGAGAAAGCAGGGGACCUUCGGGCCUUGCGCUAUCAGAUGAGCCUAGGUCGGAUUAGCUAGUUGGUGAGGUAAUGGCUCACCAAGGCGACGAUCCGUAACUGGUCUGAGAGGAUGAUCAGUCACACUGGAACUGAGACACGGUCCAGACUCCUACGGGAGGCAGCAGUGGGGAAUAUUGGACAAUGGGCGAAAGCCUGAUCCAGCCAUGCCACAUGUGUGAAGAAGGUCUUCGGAUUGUAAAGCACUUUAAGUUGGGAGGAAGGGCAGUUACCUAAUACGUAAUUGUUUUGACGUUACCGACAGAAUAAGCACCGGCUAACUCUGUGCCAGCAGCCGCGGUAAUACAGAGGGUGCAAGCGUUAAUCGGAAUUACUGGGCGUAAAGCGCGCGUAGGUGGUUCGUUAAGUUGGAUGUGAAAUCCCCGGGCUCAACCUGGGAACUGCAUUCAAAACUGUCGAGCUAGAGUAUGGUAGAGGGUGGUGGAAUUUCCUGUGUAGCGGUGAAAUGCGUAGAUAUAGGAAGGGAGCACCAGUGGCGAGGGCGACCACCUGGACUGGAUACUGACACUGAGGUGCGAAAGCGUGGGGAGCAAACAGGAGUGGAUACCCUGGUAGUCCGACGCCGUAAACGAUGUCAACUAGCCUUUGGGGAGCCUGGAGCUCUACUGG
rnacentral:rRNA from 1 species